UGUUUUUUUAAUGCAUAUUUGUUAUUUCUUCUAAAGUUGCGAUUUUUAUCUCAGAAAGCUUCGAUUUUUAUCUCCAAACUCCAUGUACACAGGUUCGUUUUCUUGCUUUGUCUGUCAAAGUGAAUACAGGUUGGUUUUCUUGCUUUGUCUGUCCAAGCUUCAAUUUUUUUUGUGUUCCUGAGCCUUCUCCGACGUGCUUCCCCCGCCAUUUUUUAUUUUUAUCUCCAAACUCCAUGUACACAGGUUCGUUUUCUUGUUUUCUCUAUCAAAGCAUAAUUUUUUUUGUGUUCCUGUGCUUUCUCUGUCGUGGUUCCCCCCCAUUUUCGUUUUUUUUUCUAAAAAAAGCUUCGAUUUUUGCCUCUAUCCCUGUUGAUGUGGUUUUCAUGUGCUUCGUUUUCUGAAAAAGCUUCGAUUUUUGCCUCAACAUAGGUUCAUUUUGUUGUUUUCUCUCUCAAAGUUUCAAUUUUUUUUUGUGUUCCUCAGCCUUCUCCGCCGUUGCUUUCUCUUGGUUUUCUUGCAUGUUGGGUUCAGAUCUGCGUUUUCUUUUUACCUCUUUUUUCAUUUGUAUGCAUUUUUUAUUUCGAUUUUUUUGUUUUUCACUACAUCUUCAUUGUUUCUUCUAAACGUGUGAGGGUACUGUGAUUCUUUUGUAUUUGGGUUUUUUGUUUUUCCUGUGCUUUGGCAUAUGAUUUUGAAAUUUCGAUUUAUUGUUUUUCACUGCAUGUUCAUGUUUCUUCUAAAGCUGUGAGGGUAUUGUGAUUCUUUUGUAUUUCGGUUUUUUGUUUUUCCUAUGCUUUGGCAUGUGGUUCUUUUAUUUCAAUUUUUUGUUUUUCACUGCAUGUUCAUGUUUCUUCUAAAGCUGUGAGGGUAUUGUGAUUCUUUUGUAUUUCGGUUUUUUGUGGUUCCUGUGCUUUGGCAUGUGAUUCUUUUAUUUCGGUUUUUUGUUUUUCACUGCAUAUUCAUGUUUCUUCUAAAGCUGUGAGGGUAUUGUCAUUCUUUUGUAUUUCGGUCUUUUGUUUUUCCUGUGCUUUGGCAUGUGAUUCUUUUAUCAGGAUGGUUACCUUAAAAUAUUGGGACGGUAUUUGGAGAAAUCUAACAUGUUGAGGCAACCCUUCACAAGGCAAGAGAACCCUUUCAUUCAAACCUGUCUUCUUGCAUCCUCUGCAUAGCCUUUAGCGGUACCUUCUUUCUUUCAUUCUAUUGUAUGCCUUUGUGAAUUUGUUAAUGUUGUUGUCAUAGCUGUAGUGUUAUGAAUUGGUUAGUUUUUGUGAUUUGUCAUCCUUUUUUUUUUUUGUUUUGUUUCAGAUUCUACAAUGUGAUAGUUCGUGUGUAUUAUAUUUGGUUGGACCUUUUGUAUCCAAUGUUGUUGUGUAAAUUGCUUAUUUGUGUUCUACCUUAGUUGUCAAUGACUUUUUUUCGUGCAUGUCUAUGAUUCACUUUUUUUCCAUUUUUUGCUUCUACCUUUCCUGUGUAUUAUAUUAGGUUGUUUCCAUUGUUGUUUUUCCCCUUAUUCGUUUGAUUUUACCUAAGCUUUCUAUGUUCAUCAACACUUUAUAAUGAUUGAUGCCACUGGCUUGAAUUUGUAUUCAUUUUGAAAAAUUAAAUUGCAACCAUUUGCACCAUUUGUAUUCUGUUGUUUAGUUAAUUUUGUUUAUAUUUUCAUAUAUCCUAACUGACAUUGAAUUUUAAUUUUGACCGAGACCAACAAACUACACGAAUAAUAGUGUCUGACAUUUCAAGUACAGGUUUGUUGAAAUUUUAAUAUUGUUUGCAAUCUUUAUUGUCAUGAAUUGAGUUUGGUCUUUGUUUGCAAUUUAUAGUGUCAGCCCUAAUAUGUGGUUGCUUUAGUGUCUUUAGCAUUUGUUGGUUAUGAUUUUUUUCUAUGGGUGUUUACCAAUGUCAUUUGUAGAUAAUAAUUUGUUUGCUUUUGUAGUAGUGGUACAUUUUGAAACACCUACUUAUUAUUUGUGUGUGUAUUCUGUUGUUUCAAAUAUUAAAUUGCACCUUUUGUAUCCAUUACUGCUGAGUAGAUUGCUUAUUUGUGUUCUGCCUUUGCUGUGAAUGACUUUUUUCGUGCAUGUCUAUGAUUAUUAAUUGAUUGGUGGGUUAUGCUCUGAAACAUGUUGGCCUUCGCAACUUAAAGUAUAUAUUAACUUAGCCUUAACAAUAUCAUUCAGGUUUUUUACCUAAGUUGUCUAUGUCAGCUCUAAUCUUUGGUUACUUUGUUAUCUUUAGCAUAUGUUGGUUAUGAUUUUUUCCUGUAGAUGUUUCCCAAUGUUCAACACUACUUUAAAAUGAUUCAUGGCAUUGGGUUCAAUUUGUAUUAAUAUUGGAAAAUAAAAUUCCACCUUUUGUAGUUGAAAAAUUAAGUUGCACCUUUUGUAUUUGCAAAAUUAAUUUAUACAUUCUUUGGUGCAUGUCUAUGAUUCUUUUUUCUUUAGACUUUACCUUUCCUGUGUGUUAUAUUUGGGAGGGUAUUUGGAGAAAUCUAACAUGUUGCAAUAUAUGGAGAAAUCUAACAUGUUGAGGCAACCCUUCAUAAGGCAAGACAACACUGUCAUCCAAACCUGUGUUCUUGCAUCCUCUGCAUAGCCUUUACUGGUAACAUAUAGACGCCUACAAAAUCUCGUCAGUAGAUUUUUUGGAAUUUGUGUUUAUACAGGGCCCAUCAAAUUUACAUGUACCGAGAAUUGUGCACCGAUUUGACGAGUCAUUCCAUCUUGAGCAGAAUGUCAUUGAGGUUCCUUUUGCUUAUCAUAGACAAUGGUCCCCAAAUUAUCCAAGUUAUGUGUUAUUCGACUACGAAGGAGACAAAAGCUUUAUAAAGCUUCAUAAAUAUGGUAACCGAUUCUUUUUUGGCGAUGGACUGAAGGAACUUAGGAGAACCCAUGACAUUCACGAAAGUGUUCUCAUGCCUUUUGUUGGAAGGGACAAAAAUACUACUUUCAGUGUGGAAGUUGUGGGACCUCUACACCAAAGGGCAGCCACAACCAUAAGGCACCAUGUUUUUACCAUUGAUGUCUCUAAAGAUAUGAUACAACACAAUUAUCAAUUGGUUCUGCCACCAGAGGCUUCAAUUUAUUUAACUGCAUAAAAAAAAUAUAUGAUUGUAGAUCGUGGUAGUGGUAGGCAUCACAAAUGGAUGAUCACCAUGAAUAAUGGCCUAUCAUGUGUUGCUGACGCGUGGAUCCAUUAUUUAGGUGACUGUCAUUUGAAGCCUGGAGAUGAGGUCAUCUUCUUCUACAACAUUGACCAACAUUUAUGGGAGGUCCUCUAUAGGAAGCAAGUUAAAUGGGAUGACGAAGAGGAUGAAGCUGAAUCCCCUUGAAGAACUAUUUAAUUACUUAUCUUUGUUUUAUUUUGAUAUAUUAUGUCUGUAACUUAAUUACCCUCGGGUAACGAAUAAUUUUUUUUUUACUUUUGUUUCUAUUUAAACAUUGCUAGCAACACUACAAA